rnacentral:lncRNA from 1 species
GGACACUGGGUAUGCACACAGUAUAACGACAUACACCCAGGCAAAACAGUGAGCUGUCAAUUAUCACUUUUACACUAAAGUUCCCCUUAAAUCUGUGCUUGGAAGAAUGACUUCCAAACUGGUUCUCAGAAGUUCAUUGUAUCUGAAUUCUACAGUGCUGCAGAAUGUUCAGUCAUGGGAUAUUUAAGAAAAGAGGUUUUUAUCGUCAAUUCUGAGCACGUGUACUCUGAAGCCCCACAAGAUAAACGCACAAACAGCACUGUUGACAGGUAAAACUGACUGCAGGUGAUGAGGUCCUGCGACAUUUAAUGGAUGAAGA